rnacentral:lncRNA from 1 species
UCGCUCCCCUCGGGAGCUGGAGGGGCCCGAGCAUCAGCGAGAGUAGCUGCAAGCAGCCGCGGCGGCGGCGGCGCGUCGUUGCAGUUGCGCCAUCUGUCAGGAGCGGAGCCGGCGGGGAGGGGGCUGCCGCGGGAGAGGAGGAGGGGUCGCCGCGAGCCCGAGGCCGCCGAGACCCGCCCGCCGGUCGGCCGCGAGAGCAGAGGCGAGGCUGCGCUCCAAGCCCGGCGUCCUCCGCUGUCCGGGCGCACGGCGCUUCUCCCCGUGCACCGAGCACUCUCCGGGCGCACACAAAGCCGCGGCUCACGCCAGGGAGGGAUCCGGCGGCCAGGCCGGGGACACCCCGGCGCCGCCCCCUCGGAGAUCUCGGAGGGCCCACCGGCUCCCGGGUCCGCAGCGGAGCUACUGGACCCGCCUCGGCCGCGCCGAAGGAGGGCGGGGAGUGGACCAUGUGAAUGGGCUUCGGAGCCUGAGCGCCGCACAGGUAAGCUGCCGGGAUGCGCCUCUGGAGGCCACGGGGAUGCUGCGGAGACGCCCGGCCGCCCGCGCCCCCGCACAGGGCGGCCCCCGCGGCUGGGGCCCCGCGCUGCAGUCCCUCGGCCACUGCCGCCUCUGGGGCACCCCGCGGGGCUGCGGGAGAGUUGGCAGCACUAGGGGUCUUCCCGAGGCCCUGUCGCAGGACACCUUUGUGGGGUGCGGUCCCGAGGUAGCGCAGGGAUGGGGGCUCAUUUCUUCGCCUGUUAGCCGGCGCCGGGUGGGAGUCGGAAUUGGCUUGGGGGCGAGGCUGGCCCAGACUCCUCCCCCGCCCUCCUUUUGGGGCCCCCCGUGGGGAUUAGGGCUGUGUGUGUUGUUUUAAUGUCAAGGAUGAUGUAAUCACUUAAUAAUUGAUGCCCCGUGCUGCUUCCCUCCCCACCCAACCCCUGCCCCACUCCUCCACCUCUGGGCCUCCUCCCUCGGCGGCCGUCGCCUUCCCCAGCGCAUCCUACUGCCUAUUUCUGGCACCUCCCUUGCACUUCCCCCAUCCACCCCUUCACUCUUCCUGUGCCACCACCCACCCACCCUUCCCCUUUCCCCUGUGUCGGAGCCUUCCCUCCUCUUCCUCUGUCCCCCACCCCUGCUGCUCUCUCUAGCUCCUUUCUCCUCCCUUCCCUGCUCACUCGCUGAAUUUCCUCUUCACUUCCCUAGAUCGAUGGUUGUUUUUGUUUGGUCUCCUCCCCUCUCUUAUCUCUGCUGCUACAGGCAGAGGGGGACUGGGCCAGAAGAGGCCACCGAGCUUGGGCCCAGGCGGUAUUUGCUGGGACACUUAGGGAAGAGGCAUAAUCAAAUCACCCUUCUAGCUUCUCCUUCCCCCAAUAAAUCACAGAGACUCGCCCGUGUGUGUGUGUGUGUGUGUGUGUGUGUGUGUGUGUGUAACACACAAAGAGCCCUUUCAGUGCAUAGCAGGAGACACACAAAGUACCCAAGGAUCAUCGGCUCCAUGCUUCUUGUUUCUUUUCCCUAGGGCUUCCCUUUCUUUCCUAGGAAGCAGUUGAUCUUCUCUCAGAGUCUUUCCUGCCACAUUUACCAAAAAAAGAAAGGCCCCCUAGAUGCCGGGUGGCAGGUGGCAGCAUUUUGCUGUGUUCAUAGACCAGUAGUGUAGACUGUCAGCUGCUAUGUGUCUUAGAUUUAAGGGGGAAAUUAUCCCAGCUGUUUUGAGAGUUUACUUUUAAGAUAACCUCCCCACUCCCUCAUUUUACCCCUUCUCUUUUUGAGGAUAGUUAUAAGAGUUGGGAUAGGGUAAAUUGGUGUAGGAUCAGAAGAAUUUUGUUUCUGAAUUAGAAUUAAAUUGGUGUUUGACAGGAGUGAGGAAACCUGACUUGUUUCUUCUAUCUAGUCUAAGGCCUCUUUGCUGGAGUCUUUUGAAAUGAAAUCUGGUCUGCCCAAUGAUGCUGUUUCACUCUUUUAUUCAACUAAGUAACUGAGGACCUGCAUUGAAUUGGCACUUGCAAGACCAUGGAGACUGUCUUGCUUGCUUCAUGGUAGCCUUCAGAUGCCCACACUCUUCCUCUUACCACCCAAGCAACUACAAUAAUUUUCAUUCUUUGUCCAGUCUUUCUCCCCAGUCCCUACCCCGUGGGCACUGUGCUUUCAAUUGAAGAAACUCACAGUCUUUUAGAGGAAGUAGUUUAACUAUCUGAGGCUUUGGGGCACUUAGCUCUGAACAGAAGAUUUAGAAUGCUGAACCUUGGACUAUCUGAUGUACCUCUUAAAGUAGAAGUGUUAAUGAAAAAUUUGGACUUAAUGUUCUGUUUUGUAAACAGGUGGCAUGUGCUUAAUCAAUAUUGUCAAAACUUAUGUUGGGCCUGUUGUUUCCUAAGAUUAGUACUAUAGCAAGUAACAAAACAGUCUCAAGUUUGUUCUUCAAGAAUUUUAUCAGAAAAGAGUUAUUAUGAUUCAUUAAACAUUUGCUUCUGUGCUUUCUAAGGACGUUUAUGGUGGAACUUUUUACAUUAAAAAAAGCAAUAGAGUUAAUGAGGGUACUGUAAAAACAAAGACUUGUUUGUUGGAUGCCAGACCCAGAAAGAAAAGUCAGUGCACAAUAAACUCGCACUCUGUUGACCAAGUUAAAGAGACUUAAUGAUAAGGUUGAAUGUGAACAAAUGCACACUCUACUUUUCUCUCAGGUUGGAGUCUUAGGUUGGAGUCUCCAACCUAAUCUGUCUUGCUAAAAAUUCUCUUUAACCUUUGGAGUCUGUCAUAAAUGUCAUCUUCCCUCUGAAGACUUCAUUAACUCUUUUUUGAGCAAUGUUGUUUUCAAAUAUUAGCAGUAGGCAUUAUGUUUGUCAUGCUGUUUCUACCAUUAAUUUGGUCAGUACAUUGAGAAAAGGAGCCUAAUCUUAUUUGUCUCAUUUCCUACCAAGUAUUACAUUAGUAGGUAAUCAGUGGUUCAUUUAACAAUCAACAAAUAUGAGUUAGAUCAUUGGUAUGGACACCUGUUUUAAUUAGGAUAAUGUUAGCAGCUGUAACAAAUAGGCCUGCAAACAUACAAUCGUUCAAAAGCAAUGCACAUUUAUUCUUGCCUAUGUAAUAGUCCAAAAUGGGUGUUUCUGGUCAUUGGGUGGCUUUCUUCUGUUUGGCAAUUCUGAGUCCCUUGCCCCUAUCUUGUAGCUGCACAAUUACAUGGCUUUUCAUUGUAGCCUGUUUUAGCUGACUGGGCAAAAGAGAGAAUGAAGAGAUGUAUCCACUUGUAAAAUGUCUUGGCCUACAAAUGACCCACAUCACUUGUACAAACAUGAGGGCUAUGUAUGUGACUAAAUUUAAUUGCAAGGGACCCUGAGAAAUGUAGGUAAGCCAUGUGUCCAGAAAAAAAAGGACAAGAAAUGUAUUUUUGAUGAACAGCUCUGCCAAACACUCCCAUUUAACAAGGUAUAUCCACUACCCUCAAGAAGCUUGUUGGCUGAUGGUAAUUAAAUUAAAUGGAAAUCUAAGAGCCGACACCCAUCCUUGCUUUUGUUCUUUUGAUUUUGUAAGUUCAGAUAUUUUCAUCUUAAUCAUAUUUCAGAAACCUUGCUUUUUGUCAAAUUUUAAGGGGCCACUUCUCACUCAGUAAUCUCUUAUCAUAUAGUCCAUCUGUCACUUCCUGUGUUGACUUUGAUGUGGUGGUUUUUAGUCCAGAAGCACCUUCCUUGGCCUCGAUCUUUGUCUGGUGAUUUUAUAGACUUCCAUAGUGGCUAGUGGGAUCCUUGGAAAUCACAUGUCCUUAAGAAGAAAUGAAGCAGAAUAGGAAAGGUAAAGCUCAUUGCCCCAUGGCCAUGCUGAUGGUGGAACUCAGGGCUUUGUGCAUGCUAGGCAACUGCUCUACCACUGGGACAUGAAGUUUCCAAAGAGAAGGCCAGACGCCCAGCCAGCUCAGCUCUUCAACUCCACCUGGGCCCCUUCAUCAGCAGCUGUCUGUCUUGUGCAUUUCUUGGAAGUUUUGAGCUUUCAGACCUCCAGGAACAGGGGAAUCUGCUAGUGUUCUGGAUAGUCCCUGUUCUCCACAGGUCUCCAAACUAUUGCAGCAGUUCUGAAUUCUGCCCAUGCCUGUAAUCAUAAUUAAUAAUGCUCUUUCUUUCUGUUUUUGGCUGUGAACAUUUUGCUUUAUUCAUCAGUUCUGCAAACAUCAGCCUAAUAUGUUAUUUUGUGUAAGACAUUGGGGGACAUGGGGCUGUAGAAAUGAAUAUUCCUGCUGUCCUUGCUCUUCAGAAGCUCAGUGUGUACUAGAAGAGAUAAUAAUAAUAAUAAUAAUAAUAAUAGUAAAAAAUAGCUAACAUUGAUAAUUUACGGUGUGUCAUGUACUGUUUAAGCUCAAAUCUUAACAAUAAUGAUAUGAAGUGGUUUCACUUAUAAUCACCAUUUUACGAAUGGGCAAGUUUCAGUAACUUACUAGUAACUAACUCAAAAGAUCAUGUAGCUACAAAGUGCUAGAGUCAAAAUCAGGCUCAAUUAGUUUGGUUCCAAAGCCCUUCUACUAAGUCACUGGGCAGUUCAAAAUACUUCAUAUGUUUAUAGUCAUGAUAGGAAUAAGACAUUUUUCACAAGGGAGGUGGGUGGUUAGCAUACUUUGGAAAUUGAGACUUCUGGUUGAUGGAAAACAGAACUUUAUAUCUAAUAAAGUAUCCAUCCCUACCUUCCUUUCUUCUAUUUAGACCCUCGUCUGAUAUUCAUCUGGGAAACAAAAAAUAAAAUUUGAAAAUGGAAAAUCAAAGUAUGUUGAUACUGGAAGUAGUUUCACUCUCUGUGCUUCUUUAUUUUAAGCUAGGUCCUUCUGCACAGGUCCUUCUAUAUAGAUAGGUCUUUAUGAAUUGGUGAAUUGUCUGCAUUUACAAUUUGCCAGACAUUGAACUAGUGCUUGGGAGCAAAAGGUGGGGGGGGGGGGCUGUGAUCCUGCCUCAAGGAACUUACCUACUGGCUCAACUGAGAAAGGAGGAAGCCUCUGACAAUAUUAUACAUGCUGAUUCUAGGGGUACAUACACAGGACACAGAGAGUAUGCACAGCAAAGAGGUGGGGCGACCAGACAGUAAAGACUGGAGGAAGAGGUAUCUUGCAGUAGGAGUUGGUUAGUUAAAUGUGGGAAGGCCACUGCUCCAGAAAGAACAACCCAGAAGGUGAAGGCAGAGACCUUUCGGGAUGCUGCAAUUAGUUCACGACUCAAUGGGGUGGUAGAGAGAUGGAAAAAGGAAGAAUACAGGGCUGGAGAAGAAAUUGAGAAGAUUCUAAUAAGUAUUUAUAAGUGUUACUCAAGAAUUAUAAGUGGAGACGUGACUUUGACCUAUUUUGGAUUUUAAAAGUAUCACCUGGCCAUAGUGUGUGGGGCUUUGGUCAGAGCCAGGUCGACUGAUUCAGGGAGGAUAGUUACUAGAAACUCAGAUGAACUAUAGGUGAGGGUCAAAAUGGAAGGGAUGAAGUGGGGAAUCCCACUCUUUCUCACUAUACCUCCACGUAUCUUUUCCCCAGAAACCCUUUACUCCACCCCUCUAUCACCUUUGUCCAUCAUGUCAUUCGACCCACACACGUUUCCCUUCUACAGUAGUGUCUGUGAAACCUGAAGGUCCACCUCCACAGAGGUAACGUAUGUACCCAGACCUCAUUCCCUUCUCCCGAUCUUAAGUUUAUAUUUAAACAAUCAUCAUUCACUGUCUAAGAACUUCGGUACCUACACCCAAUCAAGUGGGUCCCUCUCAUGUACCUCAUAUUCCUCGUCUGUCCCGGUCUCACUCGGGUCCUUACGUCCUCCUCAUGUCCGGGACUCACCCUCUCCAUGCUUCACAACCUGUCUGGACCCCCUCAAGUAUAGGUCCCGACGUCUCUAUUGUUCUAUGUCUUACUUUUCACGACAACCUAAAUCGUGGUUGUUAAAGACUCGGCCUCGUCUCAUCGUAAUCCCCUUACUUUCACAUAUUUAGAAUUUUAGACGGUGAGGGGUCGGGUCCAUCUUCAUGUAUAGUUUUAGGCGUCUUGUAUCUUAACACUCCCUGAGAGAACGUCUCCAAAAGUUCUCGUAUACAGUACCCUGGGUCUUAGAAUCUAUAGUACAUCAGGUUAUACAUUUUAUUGAAUAAACACUCUUUUUUUUUACUUCAUGUCUCUCAAGUUUACUGAACAAGUUUAACCGUUUCAGUAGUUCAAACAUCAGAAAAUCGAGUCCACCCUGUACUCCAAUUUUCGUACCUCAACCUCGUCCCAGGUCCAGAGGUUGAUACACCCGACCGGGUUUAAUGGAGGAGGGAGACACGGAUGGAAAGAAGUAGAAAUUUUACCACUCGUCCUUGAUGAAACUCCUCAAUUAUCAAUUAGUUACAUUUCGUGAGUCUUAUUACAGCGGUAUUCCUUUUCACUAUACAAAUACACCAUUAAUACAUGUAUACAUGUGUGUGUGUGUGCACGCACGUGUGUGUGUGUGUGUGUGUUUGUAGAUAGGAAAUCCCUUCCACUUUUACCAGACACACGUAUAUUCCUUUAAAGCUCAUUAAAUCUUUUUCUAAACCCACUAACAGUCAAGACCUCGUUCUUAAAAAGCUCUUCUAUCCUUGAAGUAAAUAUACCAUACUAACUUUUAUCUUAAAAUAGUAAAUCUUCUUAAGAAAUACUGAGUCUUCUUUAUUCUUGAGAAUAGAAACAGGAAAGCACUCUGAAGUCAGCCCUUUAAAAGAGUUUCUUUGUUUUAGUCAGACAACCAGAUUUUAACCUAUUUACAAUUAAGUCCCUUGAGAUUGACUUCACAAUGUAUCCUGACUUUCUAAAGGGAGAAUGAACUACAGAGUAGGAAAAAAAAAACAUGAAUUAUGACUGUCAUGUACUUGAUAUCUAUGAAAAAAAGUGAUUUGGUUAUUUAGAGGAAUAUAAUCUUUUUUUUUUUUUUUUAGUGUUUCUGAUUGAGCAAAUCUAAUUUUUAGCUACUAAAACACAUAAGUAGUCUGAACAUUAUUAUCCAGAUGGACUUGGGUGACAUGCAGCAUAGACAAUUUAGGAAUAAGUGACACUCUGGACUUGAUUAGAACGCAGUAAUCCUAGAAGGAUAUAAAUUGAACUGGAUUUAUGGCCUAAUAAAAACGUGGGAAGCAGAGAUAAUGCUUACUGACUCAUGAAACUUUAACAAUGUUUGUGAGACUCCAAGUUGUCCUAAUAUUUGGACGAGAGCACUUCCCAUCCGUCUCCGCCUGCUUCUGAGUGGCCUGCUCUGCACCUUGCUCUAAAGGGAAGGCUGUACUGGGUCUUCUUAGGUAUUCUUGGGAAGCAGAGUUUAUCACAUGCUGUGCCCUUGCAAGCAAGCCAUGACCUCAAGCCACGCCUCACAGGAUUGGGCAAAUAUAUACUGAGCACCUAUUAACUGUAAGCUGUUAGGAGAAAAAAAAGUUCAUCAAGGGAAAGCCUUAGCCUAUUGAUUACUUUUGUUCAGAAAGCUUUUUGAAGGGGCUCCUUGUUUCUGGCCUUGUUUUCCCCUGUCUCUAAUGGUGUCAAAAAACACACAGCGUAACAGCUACUUGCCCAUCCCUGAAUACACCAUACAAAUAUCAACACUUACAUUUUAUUGAACCCUGAAGGCCUUUGUUCAGUGCUUGACAUACACUAAUUUACUAAAUCAUUACAACUCUGUGGCAGGCAUAGUAUUGUUAUUCCCAUUAGUCACACAAAGAGACUGAGGCUCACAAAGAGUGAGGCCAGGCCUGUGUCACUCAAUUCUCUCCUGCUUUGCUCUGAAAUGGGGUGUCUUGUUCCCUGCCUCCUUGCCUUUUCUUUGCACAGUUAGCUAUAUGUUGUUCGUUGGGAGAUUCAAAGUCACCUCUGUCUCACUGUGACUCCACUCAAGACAUGGCUGCUGGGAAGCCCUCCCUUCACUCCUCGAUCUGGGCUCGCAGAGCACUGAGGUACCCCUCAUCAUAGCCUGACUUGUAAAGCAGAGGGAGUCAGCUGGGGCGGGGUGGGGGCGGUGCUGGCUUUUUACACUGAUUUGUGAGCUCUUUGGAAAUCAGUAACUCUAUCUUGCAUAUGGUUGAUUUGCCAACACCCAGCAUUAUUCCAUGAGGACUGUCAUUAUUCCAUUGAAAGGGUGAGAAAACUGAAGCAUAGACGUUGAUUUAGUCAGGGCCACAUGGCUAGCAAGCUACACAAGCUCUUCACUCUAAAUUUGUUCCAGCUCUCAAAGGAGCCUGUGAACUGUGAGGGCAAGUUGGUACCCAGCAGCUCCCAGCCUAAAACCUCAUCGUUUGUGCGUGGUGAACAUCAGCCCUCUUGUUCUUCCAUCCACCCUGGAAGAUUGGAAAAUGGAGAAUACAUGGAACCAGGUCUUAUCUCACGAUAUGAGCAGGGGGGUGCAUGAGAGCCUGAGGAUCUUCUGCCAUGUGAAUUCCCAGGCCUCGUUCUGAUUUCAGUGGGGAGGGAGCAGGCAGGGUGGAACACUUUGAAAAUCUUUUCAGGGAGGACAGAAGCAUGAGGAGGCAGCUUCUGGAGAUCAGGGAAUGAAGCAGGCAUAGGGAGUUCGAAGCCAUGAGGGUGGGAGUAGGCGGAAGAGAAGUAGAAAUCAUCAGCUAGCUGGAGUCAGAGGGAGCUGCAGCCUGUCGCAGGAAGGACCUCUUAACUUGUCUUUUAAAGAUUUGCAAGUACCUGCACCUUUUGAAUGUGCUGGUGGGAUUUUAUCUGAGGAAUUCAAACACUUUCAUUUUCUUCAGAGCUUCUAUCUUUUAGGUACCCAAAAAUAGUAGGCUUUUCAGGAGUUGUAUAAGAAUUCCAUCUGCUUUGUAUUGAAAAGUAGGCCUUUAAUGGAAAAUUAAAAUUGAGCCAGAUCUCCUUCCCCACAACAAAGCCCAGGGAACUUUUCCCAUGCCUUCUUUUAAUCUCCAGAAUACGUUACUGAAUCUGUAUUUCUGUGAAAUCCUGCCCAGUUUAAGCUCUACUGAAAAGGCAAAUAAACACCAAAUUCUUUCAUUUCCCCGCGUGUGUUGGGUCUGCUUAGAAGCAGUAACAAUUUCAAAUAUUGUCACUUGUGAAAUUUGAUUUUUGUUUUAAUUUUAUUUUAAUUCCAGUCCAGAUAUGGUGUGAUGUGUUCCCCAUAGUCCAGCAUAUAUGUACUCACUGGGAUACUUGAAAAGGCACUGAUUUCUGUUAAUGGUUUCUCCGGUUGCUCUCUCAGAGUUUGGAGGGUAUCACCUUGUAUUGUCUGGUUUAUUUUCUAACCUGGAAAUACAAACACCAUGCUUCAUUGUUUUUCAGAUCUAAAACUCUGGAGCUGAGUUAUCAGUGAACUGUAACAUUCUAACAUUGUCUAUUUUUUAUCGUUGUCUCCUCCCUAAAAAUGUCCCUGUGUGGCUGUCCUUUGUACACCUUUGCCGGAUCCUCAUUCUCUUGAUGUUCUCUUGAUAUGUUGUGCCCUUCAGCCUCUCCCAUGGUUUGCAAAUAACAGUUGCUUCACUUUUUCCCAUACUUUCUAGAUUGAGUGUGGAGGCGUAGAUCUGUGUUGAAAUGGAGGUACUGGCUGAUGUACAUACUGAUUCUUUUGCCUUUACUAACCACACAAUAAAUAGAAGCAGAAAGACCAGAUUCCAGAGCCUGGCCUGCUGUGCCUUCCCCAGUCUCUGUGUCCUUCCCAGUCACACCUGGCUCACCUCAUCUACCACCACACUAAAGCUGGAUAACACCUGCUAUCUCAUGAAUAUGAAAGAGGUGUUCUGGCCUUUCUUUUCCUUUCCUGGAAUCCACAAAUCCUUCAUUUCCAUUAGAAUCCCAUUCAUUUGUCAAGGCCCAGCUGAAAUACCAGUUUUCUCCUUCUCUUCCAUUAAACAUUUGUAUCUCUCAAUUGCUUUCAGUAACUGAUGACUUAAAUUAGUAGUUAAAUUCUGAUGCAAGAAAGCCAAGGUUCAGAAGAUUUUUAUGACUUGCCCAAGCUCAGUAAUUGAUUUAGCCGAGACUCGAAAUCCAUAUGUAUGGGUCCUGCCCUCUUAGGAAACCGAAGACUCUUGGCCCCAUGUGUUCCAAAUCUUGUUUGCUGUGCCACCUUUUUGUCUGUCCAUCUAUAGCAUGCAGUGCAGUGUCACUCUCAAGGUAGGUACUUAAGCAGAUGUUACUUAGACAUGUCCUGAAUGUGCAGCUGGUUUCCUGGGCAUCUGGAUGCUAGGGUGUCAUCUGCUUGGACGUUGAGUUUCUGUAUUUUCUGGUGGCUGCACAUUUACUUCCUAUAUGAUUUAGGCUGGGUCAUUGUCCUAGACCAUUUUAGGAACUACCAUUGCAUCUUGGAAUGAUUUGUGUUUUAAGAUCUUUUGUUUAGAAUCUUAAUCAUUUUGUUAAAAGUCUAGGUGAUCAAAAAAGCAGUUACUUCUUUGCCUUCUGCUUUCACCAACACAAUUUUAACCAAAAAAGAAAAAGAAAAAAGGAAGUUAUUCAGUACAGAAUGACAUGUGAGACCAGGGAGAAAAUACAGAAUGAUUCAAAAUCUGGAGGAGACCAGAAGAGUACAAGACUGAAUGAUGGGAGAGAGAAGAAUAGCUGAAUGGGCUGCUGGUAUUGAGGAAGAGAAAGCAGGUGCUAGCUUUUUAUGCACCCACCCAUUUCUAGACCUCUCAAAGCAUGGUUUACUUGAUCCCUCAGCCAGACAGAACACAGCCUGUCCGUGGGAUUGCCUUUCUCUCCAGGCAUUAAUUGUGUUUGCUUUGUGGCAUGAUCUGAAGAAUCUCCUUAGCAGCAGAGGGCUCUAUCCCAGACUUAAGGUCCUUCCUACAAAGUAAGGAUUUGACACAGCAGCCCAGCUUCAGCCUUUUCUUUGUAUAUCCUUCAAAAGAAUGAUAGAAAAUAAGCUUUAUAACAUGUUUUCCAUGGUUGGGGGAGGGACUACUCCAGUCAUUUCUGUAACAAAAGACAUAUCAACAUGAGGGGUAAUGUUUGCCAGGCAUUCGUUAAGCCUCAGCUACCUGGACACAGCAUGCUGGGAUUCUUCAUUACUGGCUUCCCCUGCCUGGCCCUCACCUACAUGCCAGAUUCAGUGUACUGGGAUGGAGAGCAGCUGUGGAUGCAGGCCAGCUGCUAUAGCAAAAGGAAGGGGGCUGCGUACCUUGUGUUCCUCUUUUUUGAAAUGCUAUUUCGAUCUUUGGGAACCGGUGGUAGGUUGUUUUUUCUUGCUUAACCAAGCACUGUCUAUGAUUUAAAUGCUUUGCUGGCCCCCUCCCCACCACCACAACCUCUGCCUUGAAUGUAGGAGAUCACACUCUGCUCUGACUAAAGUGUGCUUUUCCCCUUUGCUGGCACAUAAUGUCACUACUUUCUGUAUUUACCUAGUUUGUUCAGGUGCAGAUACUUUUGUGCAUGUCAUUGUCAAUAUUGUCCAUUUUUAGAAGCAAGUCUGUGUAAUACUAAAUUAAGUUGUGCACUUAUUCAAUGCUUGUUGAUUAUGAUUCUAAGCUUCCCACUGUUUUGUAGUCAUUAUUCAGCAGAUUCUUGAUUUCAGGUACCAAGAGGUUUUUCUGGAGGUAAUUUUCUUAGGGGCUGAAAAUUACUUAUCAAAGACCAUGAGGGGUGCAUGGGAAGAAUCUGUAAAGACUAUGUGGCUCAAGCAGAACCAGAUCUUCUGUGGGUAAAAGUAGCUCCUGGGAAAAGGAUGAGUUCUGGUUAUUUUAUUCAGAAAUAUGAUCCAAAGAGGCAAAGAGGAUUGGCACUUGGAAAACUGCAGCCCCCAAAGUUUUCUGGCUGUACCUCAGCCAACAUGCCAUACAGGAAAGAGCAUAGUGCAUGAAAGUAUUGGAGGGGGCAUCUAAGGCAAGCCCCACUGCCUUCCCUGAUCCUCAUACCUCCAGUUGUGACAGAAGUUCUGUGUUGUUUGGAUGAAAUUCCCUGGCUAGUCCUCACAACAAUGAUCUCAUGUAGCUGAGAUCCAGAGCAGCCACCGUGAGAAAAUCCCUGCUUUGUGGUCCCCACCAACGCACCCACCUGAGCUCUCAGUGCUCCCUGCCCCGAGCCACUAGAGAGGGAGGUAUUGGUGAAGUAGGAGAGAGAGAUGGCAUAAUGGACAGAAGGGGCUUAGAGAAUCUAGAAAAGAUUCAAACAAGCACUAAAGUAUAGGAUGGGUGUUAAUAGAUAGAUAAAACACAUUCUGGAUUUAGAUCUGACUGGAAUUUGCUGGUUUUUAAUGGUUCCCCUUAGCCCAAUUUGGUGAGUUUGCCUGGUAAUGCUUGUCCCUUGGGAAUGGAAAAUCUGACCUUGUGGUGACCUAGAGUGAAGAAUUGGCUCAAAUAGUCAAGUGAGUAGGAUGUUCUCAACGACUGAAGAAAACAUCAGCUGAAUUAGCUGAAAGUAGGGAUCAAGGCUGAAUAGCCCUGGUGUAAGAUAAGGUAAGGAAGGACUGAGUGAACAGAUAAGGAAGGAAGGGUCUGAGGUCUCAGGGAUGUAUUGAGUGAACACAGCAGAUUUAGAAGAGGAGAGACAAAACGACAAGGCCCCUGAAGAAAGGAGUUCCACAGGGGAGUAUCUGUAUGGAUCAAGGAUAUCAGAUGUAAAGAAUUCAAGAAUGGAAAGCCAUCCGUCCUUUUGCCGUUAGUUAAACAUGUAUAAAUGAUGCCUUCUGGAAGAAGGACAUGUCAGCCUGUUGCUGGUGCUUUUUUGGUUUUGUUUUGUUUGCUUGCUUUUAAAUCCUGGAUGAAUGUUCUGGACCUCCGAGACCUUGCAUCAUGAGCAGCUGGUUUAGUGGGAAUAAUAUUUUGAACUGGUAUUCAAUUUACUUUCCCUUCCUCCUAAUUCUUAUCACCCAGGGAGUCUUCCCCAUUGAGGUUAAAGAUUCUAUUACUUCAGGGGGAGACCAGAACAUGGCCAAGGACAAAGAAGACAUUGUUCAGCUUUUGACGUUCAAAAUAGGCCCUUCAAGCAUGUUUCAGAGACCAGUUAGCCCUGCCUUCAUUUAAGAGGCAGGCUUUGUUAGGAAAAAAAAAAUGACUUGUGGAUUCCAGAGAACCAGAUCGCAAAAGGGGAUGGCAUGUCCUGCACAGUAAGCUGUGAAAAGGAGGGAGGCUGCAGGAUAGUUUCUCUUUGUCCAGGAAGGAGAGAAGCCCUUCCUGAGUUAGUGGGAAGAACUUGCAGAGAUUCUAGACUUAAGAAAUGGGUGGGUCACUGAGAUCCAAUGCCCCAGUUCCUGGACUUCAGCUUGAGAGAUAAGUGAGAUGUUAGAAACUCCAAGAGGCUGAAGGAAGCCCCCAACGCAGUGGGCACUUGUACCUUGCAUCCUGUCAGGAAUUCUGGAAGGAACCCACCUUGCAGUGCACCCUGCAGUGGGGCAUUGUUAGGCAGAAGCAGGCCCCAGUAUAGUGUCCCCUUUCAGUUUCCCAAAACCUGUAUGUGGUGGCAUAGGGGAAAUCUCAGCAGUCCAACUUGUCAGGUUGGGGAACAUGGAGAUGCUGAAGAGCCAGAGAUCAAAAUGGAGAGGGCGUGGAAGGCAGCAUGCUGACCUCACCACUGGAGACCAGCGGGGGGGUCAUGGCCACAGAUAUGCUGAGCCCUUAUGAGGUGGUGACCGGCUACAUCAGCAAGACAGUGGAACAACACAUCCCACAGAGGCCACUGAGGGCUUGGAGGGCAGCACUUGAGCCAGACACUAUCUCCAUUACUGCCUGGUCUGUAAUCGUCCCCAUGGGUGAGAAGGGAAAGGGAAAGGAACAGCCCUGAGGGGCAUUGGAAGUGAGUAAUUUGACUACUUGCCUGAAGCAACUGAAGGUUUAACUCUGAAGAGAAGACAUUAUCUGGAAAUAGCAAGAUUGUCUUUCUACCAUAAGCAGGAACACAGUGAUCAUAAUCAAAUUGAAUUCAACCAUUGAGAUUCAGCCAUUUCAACCCUUUCACAGGUCUUCACGCAGUAAGUGCACAUUUGGGCUGCAUUUGGGCUAUAUUUUUAUCUGUUUGGGGGCAGAUUUACUUAUGCUUUUCCUUUGAGUAAUUCAUGGUUUAGUAUACCUGUAUUAAGCUUAUUUUGGACGUGAGAAGUUCUGUCCUCUUGGAGGGCAAAGCUGCCUACCUGAUGUUUCAAAGAGUAUUGUAGGGAUAUUGGUGGGGAUUCUGGCUGCCCAUUGUUUGCAGGUGGCAGUUCUUCCCAGUGCACUGCAAGGAAGUACCUUGGUUCCCUGGGGGCCUCAGGUGGGUGGAAAACAUUAGAGUUUCAGGGCCUUUAUCAGUGAACUCACUGCCUGCCAUGAUAGAGGCCAAAGAAGAAUUUUUAUUGUGUUUGAAUUCUUCAUUUCCUAUUUUAAAGGUAACAGGGUGAAGACUAGAAAUAUGCUCCUAAAUACAAGGGGAAAUGCUCUUUGUUUUUAUUCAAUCCCCAUGUACUAAAUAAAGCACCAGUUUAUGAAAGGAUUCAUUUCCAAGUAUAAUUCAUACGUACUUACCAGAACACUCAAAUGAGAGAGGGGAAAAACUCUUUUUAAUUACAUUUCAUCUCUCUCUGACAUUCAUACAAGGAUGAUGCUACAUUUAAGAAGAUGUCUUUCAAAACCUGCUGUUCCUGGAAAUACCUAGUAAUUUUGGAAGGAAAAUCUUUAGGCCUGCUUUCAAAGCAUGCCUUUGUUGGAGGUGUGGUGGGGAGCUGCCUAUUGAGACACUGUUUAUAUAUUUUCCUACCAGAAGAUUAUUACCGUGGUACUGAGCAAAUCUCAAAACAUAAAUGCAUCUCAUGUUUUCCCUUGUCUGUCAGUGGUAAUCAAGGGAGGUGGAAAUGGGGCCAUAAUGUAAAUCAGGAGGUGUUCCUGCAUAGAUAAAAUAAUAGAAUUUUUUUAAAUGCUGAUUUAUGACCUGGCAGAUUUUUUAAGAAAAAUAGUUUGGACCUAUGAAAUACUCCUAUUCAAAAUCUAUUUAAAAUCAAAAUUAUCAAAGCUUAAACAUGUUUAUACACAUUAGAGAUAAAAGUCUUUUGUAUCACUUAUCUGAGCAGUUGCAAAAACAUAAGAUAGUAAUUAUUUUUUGCUACAUAAUUUACUCGCCCUGGUUUUUGUAGCCUUGUCUCUAGUAUGCAUUUCACUGAUACUUUUCAUGAAGAAUAAAUUGUUUUUAAUUUUCUUAUGAAGUUGCCUGUGAUCCCUUCAGAGUUGUUUAUAGUUAGUAUUUGAAGUUAAUACUUCCAGUUGGCAUUUAUGUGUACACCACAGUAUUUCUAAUUGAGAAAAUAGCUCUUUCUGCAGAUGUAAAGUCCCUGGUAAGCUCAGAGCAAUUUUGCUAAGUUGGGGCUCUUCUGAGACAAUUUUUUUUUUAGAGUGAAAUAUGUAAAUAUUUUGUUCAUAUUUUCACAGGUCUUUCCCCCUCAUUUAGAAUUCUUAUCUUCAACAAAUGUUUUUACAAGACAAAACUUAAGAAAUAAAUUGAUGUGUGAUCUUUUUGAAUGUUUUGUCAGAUGUAGAUGAUAUAAAAUCAUGGGCCUUCUCAAUUUCACCCCAUUCUGUUACAGACCAUAAAUGUAUCCAAUUAAAUCUAGGAGCACCAUCAAAAGAUUGCCAUGAGUCAAGAUAUUACAAAACAUCAUAGUAUAAUUUCAGAGUUAAAUCUUGGGUAGUAUUCAAGUCUUAUCAUUUAAUGUGUUCAGUUCCUCCUUCCUUUGCUUUCAUUGGGAUGAAUUUCAACAUCUUCUGUUCAUGAGCCUUAUUUUCAAUAACUGCAACGUCUUCAAAAGCUAGACUAUUUUUGUGCUUCAUGCAUUGCUUUGAUCAAAGAUUUCCAACUGGUUUGGAACAGAAUGCACCCAAACUUCAGAAGACUUGCCUAUCAUAGUGUUAAGGCACACCCAGGUCAAUUCAGAGAGUGGGUUCUCAAACACAACCCAGGUGAUGAUGAAUGACAUAUGGCAAAGGGAGGCAUGUACUGCUGUGCUGAAGUAUUUUUUGCACUGAACAUUGGCUUUGUCACAAAAAUUUUGUAGGUUCAGUUUUUCUAACUGGGCAUAUAUACUACAGUUUGUCAAUUUCUACAUCUACAAUUUUCUUUCAUGUUUGGGAGGCUAUACCUACCUGGAUUGAAUGCAGUUAUAAAUUAUGCAUGUGCCACCCCAAAUUCUAAGUCACUUUCUGCUCCAUAGGUUUCUUGAAAAGUAAGAACAUUAUUUUUUAAAAUUUUUUUCUAGAUGUUGAUGGACUUUUAUUUUAUUCAUUUAUUUAUAUGCAGUGCUAAGAAUUAAACCCAGUGCCUCACACAUGCUAGGCAAGCACUCUACCACUGAGCCACAACUCCAGCACCAAAGAACAUUAUUUUUAGCAUCACAAAAUUUUUAUAUGUAUCAUCACUGCAAAAACAAGUAAUUUCAUCUUCUGUGUUGAACUUUGUACAAUUUACAGCAGUGUUUACAAUAACAGGAGCUGUUUCACCUAUGACAGAAUAAACUUCUCCAAACUUUCUUUUGACUCCAUGAAAUAGUUUAAAAUACCUGAUGAUUCUACCAUAACAUUGGAAUCAUUGAGUUGUUUAUAAGGUUUUUUUUUCUGCUAACGAAGCUGAUGCAUUACAGAUACUUUACAUACACACACACACACACGCACACACACACACACAUCCUUUCAAAAGUAAUCUAAAUGAAUUUAUGUGGUACUGAGUAUUGAACCUAGGGGUGCUUAUCACUGAGUUAAAUCCCCAGCCCUUUUAUUUAUUUACUUAUCUAUCUACCUAUCUAUUUGAAAAUUUUGAGACAGGGUCUCUCACUAAGUUGUAGAAGCUAGUCCUCUUCCCUCAGCUCCCGAGUCACUGGGAUUACAGAAAUGCACCACCACCACACCUGGUAGGAGAGCAGAAUCAAUUAAGAACAAAUUGUCAUCAGCACUGUCUUAAUACAAUAAUAUUAACAUUUGCUGGUGCCUCUUUAGCAGAUUUGUGACUUGGGGUUUAUGUAGUCAGGAACACCCCUGUGGCUCCCAUGGUGGUUAGUCAAUAUCAACAAGCAUUCUGUGCUAAAUAACAUGUAUCAUCAACUUUCUUGAAAAACAAAAUUGGGGUCUGUGGUGUGACUUGCCUAGCAGCACCAAAAAAAAAAAAAAAAAGGAUAUUGCAAAAAUAAAAUAAUAUGACCAUUCAAUAAAUGAGAAAAACACUGUAAUGAUGGCAUUCAGACAAUUCCUUAAAAGAUCUUUAGCAGAUCUAUUUCCUGAAAAUAUUUCAUGUAUGCUUUUCAUGUAUAGCAUUCUGUGCUUCCCUUUCACCCUUCUGACUUGGUGUUCUGUACCUCUCAGGCUUGCCAUGGGUCCCAGCACAGUGACAGCCAAUGAGGGGGAGUAGCAAUGCAGAAUAUUUCUCUCACUGCCCAAACUGGUGUAGUUAGCUUUUCUAGAUUGCUCACGUCCAAGUGCUCCUUGUUGUAUCGGUGAACAUUCUGUGUGUUGCAAUUGAAAAGGAGGUGUUACACCAAGAUAGGAAAAGGACAGGAAAAAAGAUGGAUGGCCAUCGGUCAUCUUUCAGAUUUAAUCACGUGUUAAGGUAAAUUCCCUUUGCCAUAGAGUUGUCUCACGGAUAUGCAAGACCAUAGCAGAAGCUGCAACUGUGAAGUAAAGGUUACAAAACUCACUCCUGGUGUGUUUUCAUGCACCUAAUAGUAACACUUGGUUUACAAAGUGAAACGUCUUGGACAAAUGCUUACUCUGACAGACUGCUGGGGCAGCAGGAGGGGAUGAGCACUGUCACAGACAAUGCAGGGUACACACUCACCCUAGUUAGACUACACUGCUCCAUCUGCUGUAUGUCCUCCUCUUUCACCCAGACUGUAUUAUUCCUGCAACCAUGCUGCCCUGUCCUUCUCUACUCUUGCCCCAUCCGAUUCUACUUCCCACAAUGGCCGAGGGAGCUUUUAAAAAUAGAUUACAUCACUUCCCUCAGCAUCUUCCUAUCGCAGUUGAAAUCAGGUCUGGUGCUCCACUGUGGCCCAAGGGGCCCUCUGGGCCCUUGCCUUUGGCUAGCUGCCCCCUUCUGAAUAAUAAGCUUCCAGGAAGAGCUACCUGACUGUUUUCUCUCUGUCACUCUGGCUCAUGAGAGAGUUGCUCAGGUUGUUUACUUGAUGAAAUGAAUGCGACUUACUUAGAGUUGAAGAGAGGGAGUGUCUUGCUAAUUCCUAGGACUAAGGAAAUUCAGGUCCAAAUCUCUAGAUCCCAAAUAUUAUUUCUGUCUCUGAUCAAGAAGUUAAGAGAGCAAGAUGUAUUCCAGGACCAGGUCUUCUCCAUUAGCAGAGGUCUUGUGAUGCACACGACCGUUCUGAUUCUGUAGUCUCCUAGCCCCUCCCCACUGCAUGGAAGGAAGCAUGAAUUAUAGGGAGUCUAUUGUUUUCAUCAGCAUCGGAUCAGGGACUUUGUUUUAAGCACAUCUGGCCUACAUAACUAGGUAAGGUGUGCCUCUGGAUAAUUGGGGGAAACUGAAAGGCAAAAGCUCUCAGGGACACAGGGUGGUGGUGGUGAAGGAUUACUUUGAAGUCGCGAUUUUGAGACCCCGGGUUCUGGCAUAACGGCUUUCUGUUGCUUCUCUUUUCAAAACAUGCUACUGCUCAGUUUUAUCAUGAAUGCCUUUCCAAGGACAGUAAAUGGUUUUACACACUAUGACAUCGUUUCCAUGGCAACUAAUGUAUUUCAGCAAAGAGAGACUGUGAGAGAAGUAGGCUAAAAAGGACAAAUACAGAAACGGCACAGUGUAAAAUGUGGGGCAGUGUGUGUUGUAGUAAAGAUUUUUCAUUUUUUUCUUCUCCCACCCCUUUUCUUUUUCUGACUUCUUGUUUAGAAAAACCUGAAUAACUGGAUCUCAGCUUCUGAACUCCAUCUAAUAAAAUUUUUACUGCACCGACACUAUUUAGAAUUUUGCUGACACAAUUUUUUUAGGUGGCACUUGGGGGGUUUUUGUCUGUUUGCUUUAAUGUGAUAAUCAUGUAAUGAAUGCACGUGUCAUUUUAUCUCUCUUAAUGAUAUACUCUCUUCACCCCCACCCACUCUCCUCUGGCUAGUACCCUGCUUCUCUGCUGCCUUUUACCACAGUGCUUUUUGAGAGGAUUAUUACAUUACCUGUCUCCACAUGGCAUUUGAUAGCAAUUGAAGCCAUUCCAAGCAGCCUUUCACUCCACUGUUUGAUCUGGGAUCACCAGUUGUCACAUCCCCAUUCUCUAAGUCUACUACAGUUUACCUCUUCUUCUUCUCCUUCUCUUUCUCCUUCUUCUUCUUCUUCUUUUUUAAAGAAGCUAAUGUGCUCAAGUAUACUUUUCAAUAUUUCUACAAAGUACCAAACCCUGUAGGCGUCAACCCUGGUUUUAAAAAAUAAACAAAAGGAACUUGCCACCCCUCUUUGUGAAUUGGAAUGUAUUUGCGUUAUCUUGUUUUUAUGACAAUAAAAACUUUUGUGUUCCUAAAUAACCCCCCAGGAGUUGAGCAGAUAGCAAUCAGUUUCUUUAACAGAAAAGGCAUAGGCAUUAUGAUUUGCAUGGCACAUUUUAAAAAUGUAAACACACAGUUUUAAAUAGGGCAUUUUUAUAUAAAAACCAGGGUUUCCAGCUUCUCUUGAAAAAAAAAAAAAAAUGGCAGGUUUGGCAAAAGUGAACGUGCCUUCUGUAGUGACAGCAGUCUGCUCCGGCAGGCAGCGUGUGACUGUCCUCUUAGAAGGGGGCUGGGCUCUUCAGUCAUCCUGCCUCCGCUCACCUGCUUUGCUUUUGCUAGUGUUACCUCCCUGACCUCUGUGUUUGUUUUUUUUUUUUGACAUGUGACCCUUACUGCAUCCCUUACCACCCAGUCACAGAACCCAUAAGAGGCAAAGCUGGGGAUUGAACUUGGUUUCCCAGCCGACUGCUUCCUCCCUGACUGUGGACCAGAAUUCUUUUUUUAGAGAGUACUUUAGAGGUCAGUGGUGAGGGGCAUCCUUAGGUGGUAGAGUCUACAUUUUGUCCCUUCCUAAUUAAAAUAGGUGCUGCAGUGAACAGCACUGGUUGCCUCCGUCAGAAGCUGUGUGCGCUUUCUGUCACGGUGUGCUAGACAGAGGUGCUGGCCAUAAAUCUAACUUUUACAUGUGCAGAGAAACACUGGCUAAAAGGAGAAGCUCUGGCCUAACCUAGGUUUCAUAUCUUGUAAGUUUUCAAUGAGCAUAUAUUACCUGUUUAGGAGGCAAAGUGAAUAUUUAUGUCAUUAAGAACGAAAGCACAUACAGCAUUGACUGACCCCUGUGCUGCCCUCCCUGUGUGCGACACACAAGGGUAUCCCCCGACACCUUUGCUGUCCUUUACCAGAGUAGACUCUCGCCUGGAUGGAAGUGUGCUAAAGACGCCUCUGGGGUGGCAUCAACUUGUGCCGGCCUUGUCGCUGCCCUGCUUUCCUUGUUGUUUGAAACAUGCACUUACUGCUUCACCUGGGGGGCAAGACAGGAGAAGAGGUUGCAGUUGCCACCAUCUCUAACAUCGUUAGUUUUCUAUGUGCAGGAGGACUCUGGAGAGCGAGGUAGUCUGGGGCCAGGAUGAAUGGCUAGAGGAAAAUGCCUUUUUCCUGGGGAAACAGGGCAACGAGAAAUGUCUCACAACAAAGAGCCUUGUCUGAGCUGGGCCCUGUCUCUGGGGCUUGAUCCAGCUGUGGGGUGCACAGGCAAUUGUGGUGACCUUGAACGUGGAUGGUCCCACACACUGCGUGCCUGUCUGCAGCUGCACUGGCCUGGGAGAGCCCACUGUGAAAGUGGGCCUGUUCCUGGGCUUCAGGCAGAGAGCCAGGGGCCUCCCCUUUACCAGAGAGCAUUGAGGAACUUCUGUGUAUGCUCUGUAUGUGUCUCAGCUUUCUUUGGGAUUAUAGCAGCGUCUGGCCCUGCCUGGUCUUUUUUGUGCUUUGGAUCCUAAGUUAAGAAUAACCGAAGGAACACUUGUCCCUGUUGACAGGCUUGAUAAGGAAAUUGCUAUCAAAUGGCUAUUUUAUCCUCAUUCACCACUGACAUCACACCACGUACAGUUCUGAGGUUCCCACUUUAGUUGUGAUUGAAUAGAGCUGUGAUCCCUGGAGCAGAAAGAAACCAUUCAGAUGUAACUAUGUGAAGACGAAGAUGUGUCCAGUAACGUGCAGAUGUUUUUUGGCAGGUCAAUGAAUAUUUUAAAUCUUUUGUAAGUAGUAGAAGAGGUUGAAUUUGGAACAGAGAAUAUACUAUGGCAAGAGAAAGGCAUAUCUCAUUUUUUCCAUCUCCCAUUUUUUUCAAUAAUCAAGCAAAACCCUGAACAAUGAUUUAAAUCUUGAAUUCAUUAUAAGAUGUGAUUAUGACCAUGAUGUAUUGAAUUUCAGUUUCUCAAUCACAUUUUUUAAAUAACAAGAAUUGCUGGUUAAUAUUAACGUAAAAAUUCCAGAUUUGAUCUCUGUCAUUUAUUUUGAAGCUAAAGGCCCAAGAUGGAAUUUGAAGAAGAAGGUCAUCUUCUGGUUGAGAGCAUGUUGUGUGUGAGAUGUGGUCAGGCUCUCUCUGCAUUUAUACGCUUGGUCUCCACCCAUCCAAUACGCGCACACCACCUUGUAGUGCAGGAAGGAAUGGGCUCUGUUUGAUUUAAUAUAGACUCAUUAGCCACUCUGUCACUGCCGCUUGUCACCCCUUCACUUGUCACCCCUUCCUCACCAGCUCCUGCAUGUUAUGGGCACAGUGGUUAGGGCCAUCCUGGCCCCUGGAGAGGUAGCAGUUCUAACAGGGAGGCAAUGAAACAGGCCCCACAUAAAGUAUAGGAAGAACACAGCAGAGGGGAAAGCUAAUUCUGUACACAAGUGUGGGCAAGGAAAACAGUGAAAAGAUGAUUGUGAGCUGGGCACUGAAGGCUGAUGAGGAGAAAAUUAUACUUACCCAGCAGGGUUGGCGAGAUUGGAAUGACAGCACUUAGCCCGUGCCAGGCAUAUGCUCGAGGCUGCGUCUCUUUUCCUGCCCCUCAUUGCAAUAGACACAGAUUCAAAUUACAGAGGUACCAUGCAAAAGUUUGCUCCUACCUCUGGCAACUUCUCAGCUGGCCUACAACGUCUGUCACAAUCUGACCUCUUGUCUCAGUUUCCUACCUUUCCCCCUGCAGCCUACUGCCAUGCACUUAGCCACCACUCUGUCCUGUAGUACUACCAAGUCGGUUGUCAUUCACUGUCAUUCACGUGACCAGUGCUCCUUUGACCAUCUGGUUGCUCUCUCUGCCUGAGCCAUCCUUCUGUAAGGUCUGUGGGGCGAUCUGCUGUGGGCAUAUAGGAGAGCAGGGAGGCUGGAAGAAUAACUAUGUCAGAAGAGAAUUCAAAGUGGAGGACUUCCCAGUUUUAUUUUUAGAGAACUUAUAUCUUCCUCCAAAGUGGGAGGUUGAUCUGCUCUAAAUAGUUGGGAUUAAUUCACUUUUGGUCAGGGUCUUGUCCUUUGACUUCAAUUCCUGCAGUUGAUCAUACAUUUGUAGCAUUUAUGAUCAGCCUUUUCACUAUAGUAUCUGGGUUAUGUUCAUUGUUUGCCAAAUAAAACAUUAGCAGGAAAAAUAAAAGCACGAAAAAUGCUUAGCAGGAAAAAUAAAAGCAUGAAAAAUGCUCUAAUGUCCCAAAGCCCAGAGUUGAAUAGGAAGGCAACUGUUUAUAAUGUCUGUAUAACUGUAUAUCCGUGGCUCUGUCUACACACAUGUGCUCACACAGGGAGUUGGAGGAGCCUAUCUGUCCUUCAGGCUUGGAAAUAUAAAACAUAAAACUUAGACUCAGAAUAUAGAUAAAUCAGAAUAAUUGGUCAAUUUUUUGAAGAAAUUAUUUUUUAAAAGGAGUCAUUUAAAUAAAAAGUAUCUUUUUCACUUAAACAUUUGAUAGCUAAAACUUAUUCUCAAUUUUUCAGAAAUACUUUUACUUAAUAAAUGUAUGUUUUUGUUGUUGCUGUUGUUGGUAUUGUUGUUUGUUUGGUGCUGGGGAUUGAAUCCAGUGCUGUGUAACCACUGAGUAACAUCCCUAAUCCACUAUUCAUUCCAAAUGGGAUUGCCAUGUAAAUUUUACUUUUAGGAAAUUCAUUUUAUCUGUUCUUGUCCUCCUUGAAACAAUGGAACUGGUGACUGAAAAUAUCUCAAGCAGUCUUGCUUGAAAGUUGUUCAUGUUAAAGCUAUGGUGUCCCUCUUUCGGUUUAUGGCUAUAGGAUAAUGCGUACAUUGUCUUUGUUAGUUAACUCCAUCUGUUUAAUGCGCCUGAAAAAUAAAUUGGAUGGUGCUAUAUACAUGUGUGGAGAAUAAGACUGUGUGUGGUAGUGAGCCAGCAGCUCCGAAUGGACUUCCAGUUUCCCUACUGAUACCGGUUGCUGAAGUGCUGUGGAGCAAAGGCUCAUUCCUUCAGAGCCUAGAGACUCCAGCAUCCUGCGUUGCUGCAAUUAUGUGAUAUGCAUAAGAUAUGCAAUAUGCAAGUUUCUUUUCUACCCUGGAAAAGGGUAAAGAUUCUUCAAGUGUUUUUUCUGAGGCAGAUGAAGGAGUCUUUCACUUUGCAAACAGAAAACUUCUUGUUGUGACCUAUAAAUCAGAACAGCUCUCCUAACCUAUAUAAGAAUGUUCAAGAAGGGAAGUCAAACUUCCACUGUAAAUAUGUUCCCUUUGGUGAAAAGUUCUCAGUGCUGAAUUGCUUUUCUCUGGUUAUAGGGAGGCAAAUUAAAUUUCUGGACAAAGAGAAUUUCUGUUUUGUACAACACAGCAGCGUCUAGCACCCUGGUGAGCUAGCCAGAUGAAAGGUCAUAUAUUGUGGUGUCUCCUUGGUUAGUGCAGGAUAGCAUGUCUCAGAAGCCCGAAGAGGUGGGUUGCUAAGGUACGGCUAUCGAGGCAUGCUGAUUAGCACAUUCUCUCCCUCCGACCUCCAUAGUGGUUUCUUGCUUGUCUGCAACGAGUUCAUGAUUUGAAUACCCAUCUUCAGAGAACAAUAUAUGAGUUUCUAAUUCUCUUCCCCAUGGUCACUUUUUCUUUCCUUCAUUCUGAGUCAUCUUUGAUUAAACUAAACAAAGAUGUUACUGUUAAUUAUACGUCUUUUCAAACAGUGGAAAAAUUCUCGUGUGUGUGUGGGGGGGUUGCUUUUGAUGGAGAUAAUAAUUUAUAAUGGGGGUGUUUAAAACCAUAGACCAGGAAGAAAAAUGCUGAGAAGCAUACUGAAAGGAACUUAAGCAUCUCAACUACAACAGGAUAAAUUGUUUCUGCCUUUUUAAAAUUUCAGGUUCUACUUCACACUUUGCCUUCAUAUAUUGUUGUCAACAUAACUCCAUUCAACCAUUUAUAUUAUUCCCCUUAGAUACUGAGGCUUUAUUGAAACAGCUAAAAUUUCAAAUGAUAAAUGAUGUAUCAUAAUAUCGGCAGAUUGAGGCAAAGUGUAUGAACAAACUGAAAAUCUGACAUCCUACCCCUGGCACUUUAAAGAUGACGUUAAGUGGACAUGGGUAUCCUCAGAAUCAGCUCAGCCUUGCCAGGAGACUGUCAUAAGGUUCUAAGUAAUCUGGGGCUAGAGUUCCAUGGAUAAAUUGGUUCAAUCUGGUGGGUUGGCAAACCUCUGGCAGAAAGGAACCCCAGCUGAUGGGAAACAGAGGCCGUCUCAAGAAGGCUGGUUUGACAGUGAGGUUCACCCACAGUAAGACAGGAAGUGGGGCAUAUAUGGGCCCCUAGAGAGAGAUUUAAGUCAAGAGGUAAGUCGAGUAAGACCUUGGAAGACUUGUUUUUAAUGUGCCCAACAUAGGUAACUCAUGGAGACCCUGAAGAAGGCACAUGGGCAUGUGUGUGUACACACUCAGGAAUUUCUUCCUUGUAUUCCCUGCUCCAGAAAGUUAAAAUCUCAUGCUGUCUUCCUUUGGUGGUAUAGGGCCAGGUCUUUGCAUUUUCAAGCAGGUGUUUGUGGCAACUGUGACUUAGCAACAAUUGUGUGAAUGAGAAAAAAUUUGUGGGUAAAUGGAAAUUCUCUGGUGGUGCUUUGUGGGUGGUUUACAGGAGCAGAAUGCUUGGUUCUCUUUUGAUGUCUCACUAUUUGUUUUGUUUUUUUUUUUUCUCCUUCUACAGUGUUGAAGCAGGAUGCUGCUCUAGACGUGGAAAAAGUAAGUUGACACAUUUCACACGAAAGGCAUAUACUUUGUG